GGGCGGGUAGCUCAGCGGUAGAGCGUCGGUUUUACACACCGAUGGUCGCAGGUUCGAUCCCUGUCCCGCCCA
rnacentral:tRNA from 1 species